rnacentral:sRNA from 1 species
UGUGGGCCGUGUGAUUGUUUGCCCACAAAGG